rnacentral:rRNA from 1 species
UACGUAGGCAGCAAGCGUUGUUCGGAGUUACUGGGCGUAAAGGGUGUGUAGGCGGUUGCUUAAGUUUGGUGUGAAAUCUCCCGGCUCAACCGGGAGGGUGCGCCGAAUACUGAAUGACUUGGAGUGCGGGAGAGGAAAGUGGAAUUCCUGGUGUAGCGGUGAAAUGCGUAGAUAUCAGGAGGAACACCGGUGGUGUAGACGGCUUUCUGGACCGUAACUGACGCUGAGACACGAAAGCGUGGGUAGCAAACAGG